rnacentral:rRNA from 1 species
UACGGGGGGGGCAAGCGUUGUUCGGAAUUACUGGGCGUAAAGGGCUCGUAGGUGGCCAACUAAGUCAGACGUGAAAUCCCUCAGCUUAACUGGGGAACUGCGUCUGAUACUGGAUGGCUUGAGUUUGGGAGAGGGAUGCGGAAUUCCAGGUGUAGCGGUGAAAUGCGUAGAUAUCUGGAGGAACACCGGUGGCGAAGGCGGCAUCCUGGACCGGCAUUGACGCUGAGGCGCGAAAGCUAGGGGAGCAAACGGG